CUAGGAAUCUUGGGAAUGGGCGAAAGCCUGACCCAGCAACGCCGCGUGGGCGAUGAAGGCCUUCGGGUUGUAAAGCCCUUUUGCGGGGGAAGAUGAUGACGGUACCCCGCGAAUAAGCCACGGCUAACUACGUGCCAGCAGCCGCGGUAAUACGUAGGUGGCAAGCGUUGUCCGGAUUUACUGGGCGUAAAGGGCGUGCAGGCGGUCUGUUAAGUCUAGGGUGAAAGCUCCCGGCUCAACUGGGAGAGGUCCUUGGAUACUGGCGGACUUGAGGGAGGCAGAGGAAAGUGGAAUUCCCGGUGUAGUGGUGAUAUGCGUAGAUAUCGGGAGGAACACCAGUGGCGAAGGCGGCUUUCUGGGCCUUACCUGACGCUGAGACGCGAAAGCGUGGGGAGCGAACCGGAUUAGAUACCCGGGUAGUCCACGCCGUAGACUAUGGACACUAGGUGUGGGGGGUAUCGACCCCCUCCGUGCCGGAGCUAACGCAAUAAGUGUCCCGCCUGGGGAGUACGGCCGCAAGGCUAA
rnacentral:rRNA from 1 species